CCUUUAAGAAAAACCGAGGGAAGGGCAGCAGCGGUGUGUCCUGCUGCCCUUCAGUCAAGACAACCUGGAAUUCCAGCCACAGCCCCAUCCCUCCAUGUAGAAGGGGUACAGGAACUGCCUGUUUAAGGAAUUCUUAACAAAUAGGAAACACAUAGUCCUGAAUCUAAAACCCUUAUCAAAAUGGUGGAAUCCCUGAGCCAAGCUACCGCCGAUAUAGUUUUUUCCACCAGAAAAGUAUUUUAGUUUGAGGGGAACGUUGUCAGAACGUCAUCAAAGAAGAAAAGCCGAAGUGGGGGAAGAGAUGGGCCCUGCGUGUGCGGAUGUCGCCGGGGUGAGGGUUGACUCCCGCAGCUGCAGAACCGACUCUUGGGAAAGACCGAAGAUUUCUCACUGCUGGCGCUGGGUUUCUGUUGGGGGUCGGGGCAGGGGUGUCCCUGGGUUUUGUUCUCAUGGGCAGAUUCAUUCUGAGUCCUUCCUUAAGGCCAAGCUAACCCCGCGCUCCCGGAAAAGCACUCCACACGACUACACCAGCACAACAAAAGGCGCCUCCCGAAUCAGCAGAUGUGGCUUCUUUUAGCUGAAUAAUCCGUUAAAGGAAUAAUAAUUUUUAAAAAGGAGAUCGACCUCACCCAAAGAGGACGGCGAGCGAGAUUAGGGCUUGUAGAUCUACUGCCUUUGGUGGGGCUGACUGGAACGCUGCGGACUGUGACCAGUCUCUUAAAAAGAAGAACAAAAAGAGGAAGACCCUGAGUGGAUCCUCGGACAAAGCGCUUUGGGCUCGGCGUGAAGGGACGCGCGGGAGAGCUGGCAGGGGAGAACGAGUGGUCCCCCGUGCCGAAGGGCGCCCGCCGGGCGUGCGGACCUCUGAGGCUAUUCGUCUUGAAUUUUUUUCAGCCUUUUGCGAGAGGACUGCAGCAGCCGAGUUCCGGAAGGCUGAUUCCCCAGAUCCCGACCCCGGACCCCGGCAGCUCGCCCCUGCUGCACGCCCGGCCCGGCUGCGCCAGGACUCAGCGAGCGAGGAAAAAGCCUGGAUCCGAAAGGAUGCGGGAGAACAAAGAGCCUUUGGAAGACGUCGCUGUUAUCUCAUUGUCUGUGUGAUUGGGGGAGCUGCGGUAGGGAGGAUGCUGUGGUCCUUUUUCUCCCUGCUCUCCCCCACCCCCACGUCUCUCCCCGCUGUCAGUGCGCACGCACACGCGCCGCUUUUUACUUGUUUUUCCUUGUUUUCUCAUUCCAUCUUCUCCCCAUCCCCCUUCCUUUCUUCCACCUUGCUUUCCUUCCUCCUUUCCUUCCUCAGGAGAAAGGCCUCUCUCUCCGUGUUCACAGCGGACCUUGAUUUAAAUGUCCAUACAAUUAAGGCACGCGGUGAAUGCCAAGAAUGGGGCUGGCUGAGCACCGUCGAUCCGCGAGGGCCCUCCGAGGAAGGAGCCACAGAGCCGGGUCGCCUUCCGCAGAGCUCGGCGCUGCGGCUUCAGGCGGGAGGGGUCACGGGCUCUCGCCGGCUGGGCUGCCCCAACCGGAGCCCUUGGGGUGCGGAGAUGUGUGGCUUGUGA
ensembl:lncRNA